GAUGAAGAACGUAGCGAAAUGCGAUAAGUAGUGUGAAUUGCAGAAUUCAGUGAAUCAUCGAAUCUUUGAACGCACAUUGCGCCCCCUGGUAUUCCGGGGGGCAUGCCUGUCCGAGCGUCAUUGCUGCCCUCAAGCACGGCUUGUGUGUUGGGCCCCGCCCCCCGGCUCCCGGGGGGCGGGCCCGAAAGGCAGCGGCGGCACCGCGUCCGGUCCUCGAGCGUAUGGGGCUUCGUCACCCGCUCCGUAGGCCCGGCCGGCGCCCGCCGGCGACCCCCCUCAAUCUUUUCAGGUUGACCUCGGAUCAGGUAGGGAUACCCGCUGAACUUAAGCAUAUCAAUAAGCGGAGA
rnacentral:misc_RNA from 1 species